rnacentral:lncRNA from 1 species
UUUUCAGACAAGGUCUCUGUCAUCCAGGCUGGAGUGCAGUGGUACAAACAUGGCUCAUUGCAGCCUUGAUCUCCUGGGCUCAAGUGAUCCUCCCACCUCAGCCUCCUGAGUAGUUCAGACUACAGGCACGCACCACCAUGCCUGGUUAAUUUUUUGUAUUUUUGAUGGAGACUUUUUUAUAUUUUUGAUGGAUUUCACCAUGUUGCCCAGGCUGGUCUCGAACUCCUGAGCUCAAGCAAUCUGCCUGCGUCGGCCUUCCAAAGGGAAAGGAACAGCUCACUCAUGCCUGUUUCCAUGCAGAAGGAGGAGACUGCCCUGGGCCACAAUCUCCUCCUGCCCUGAGGAGACUGCCCUGGUCCAGAGGUCCCCGUCCCUCGAGCAAAGCCUGCAGAGAAUGCUGUUGGGACUUCAGCCUCUUAUGUUAGGGUUUCAACAAGUACCCAACUUGCUCCUUCUCUGGGAUGUCUAAUAUUUGUGGUGCCCCAUGCAGCGUCACCUAGCCCCAAACUCAGAGAGACGUCCACUCUUAACCCUCUUGGUUGCUGGGGCCUGGGAUCCACCAGGGAUCCUGGCCAGUGAGGAGGAGAAUGGAGAGGAGUCCACUUUCUCUGUCCACCGACUGUCUCAAUCACGGAAAAUGGGUGCUCUCCAGACACCCCCUCAGCCAUCCUUCCCGCACUCCCUGUGGACUUGUCAGCAGUGCAGGAAGCCUUCGGGUCUGGCCAGGAGAACUGUCAUUUAAGCUGCCAAACUCCCAGAUGCUCUGCCGGUCUCCAGAAUCAACAUAUUAUGAGUGCCUCACCCUCAGGCUAGGGAAGGGUUCCUCAACCUUAGCACUACUGACAUUUUGCACCUGAGAAUUCCUUAUUGUGAGGAUGGUCCUACGCAAUGUAGGAUGGUAAGCAGUAUCCCUGGCUUCUACGCAGUAGCUGCCAUGUUUACAGACACACCCCCCCACACCGCCAUGUGUCUCUAAACAUGGCUAAAUGUCUCCUGGGGGGCAAAAUUACCCUUGGUUGAGAACCCCUGACGUAGGCUAAUACCACGCGCUAUCUCUUUUUAGUGAGCUCCCCACAGUCAAUCCCGAAGACAAUAGAUUUCCAGUUCUAAAGUCUGCUCUCCCUUCCUCUACUGAAAACCCUCAUGAUCUUCAAUAGCUCCCCAUGCUCAUUUCCAAGCCAUUUGGCAUUCAAGUCCUCCUGCGUGGGCUGUCCCUGACCUAUCUGUUCAUUUUUAGCUGCCAUUUCCGCCUCCACUAUUCUUUUUGUUUGUUUGGCUGUUUGUUUGUUUUGUUGUGGCAGGGUCUCAUUCUGUUGCCCAGGCUGGAGUGCAGUGGCACGAUCUUGGCUCACUGCAACCUCGGAGGCCUCCGAGGUUCAAGCGAUUCUCCUGCCUCAGCCUCUGGAGUAGCUGGGAUUACAGGCGCACACCACCACACCUGGCUAACUUUUGUAUUUUAGGUAGAGACAGGGUUUCACCAUGUUGGCCAGGCUGAUCUUGAACUCCUGACUUCAAGCAAUCCUCUCACCUUGGCCUCCCAAAUUGCUGGGAUUACAGUGUGAGCCACCACAGCCAGACACUAUUCUUGAACCGUAGCCAAUGGUGGGUAUCUCACUACUCCCAUCCAUCCAUCCAUCUAUCUUCAUCCCUGCAGUAAUCUCAAGACAAGGGGUGGGAGGUGGGAGAAGAACCAUCCCAGAGGGCUCUCCCCAUACGUGUUCCUGAAUUCUGCUGUCUGGGUCAGGUCUGGCCUGUCCAGCUUUGGAAGAGGCAGGCUGUGAGGCCUCUGACCUCACAAAGGACUGUCAUGAACUCCAACAUCCCCGCAGUCCCCCCACCCUGCAGAUAAGAUGACUGACACAAAGAUGCGGGAUCUGCUUCUCGUCCUUCCACUUUUACUCAUCAAUGCCUUCAUCACCAUUAUACUUAUUUACUGAGCACUUCCUAGAUGCCAGGUUCUGUGCUCAGCACUUCAUUUCCAUUGCCUUAUUUAAUCUUUACAAAGACCCCAAGAUACCUCAUGGCACUAUUAUUUUUCUGAUUUUGUAGGAAAGCAAAUUAGAUUUUAGAAAAGUUACGUCACUAGCUCAAGGUUGCCGGCUCCAGUUGCCGCCCUUCUACCAUCAUCCUUUUCUAAUGUUUUUGGGCCAGAAGGGACACUAUUCCCUUCCCAGGCCUUCCCAAGAGUGUCCAAGCCCCCGGGUAUGCACACAUCCCAGGACAGGCUGCUCCCAGGUUGCCUGAGCUGGUGACGCUUUUGUUUCCCACUCUAUCCCUCCAAAUGGCCGCUUUCUGGAGCUGCUAAAAGGAAGGAGGCACUGGCGGGAAGGGGGGCAAGGGGGACAGUAUCUCACUGGGCCUAAUCUCUGGACAAUGAAGAACUAGAGAACUGACCUUCUAGAAGUCAGGACAAAGGGCAGGGCCAGGGUGCGCAGGGCCCAGCUGCCCCUCCUCCUCCCCACCAACCCAAGUCCCUGCAGCAGCACCAUCAUCCACCUUCCCAGCAAGCUCCCCACUCUGCCCCGGGCUGGGCCUGGCUUGGCUUGAAGCCCUCACCUCAGCUGGCACCAACAAGGGGGCUGGGAGUCCACUCUGGAGGGCUGGGAAGAAGGGCUACUUUAGGGAGUGGAUUCUGGAGGGGGUCGCCACCCCCUCAUCGACAGACCACGGGGAGAAAAUCCUUCUGGGGUGAUUGGCGGGGUCGUCUGGUGGGGGUGGGGGAGGUUCAGGGCUAGGACCACCCAGUUUGGAGCCGGGAGGGACCCAGCAGAUUAGAGACCUGGGUAAGGCAGCUGCGCAGGGCUGUAAUUACCCUAGAGGAGCAGGGAAGACACAAGCCCAGGAUGCCGGAGCAAGGGCGGCAGCAAGGCUCCAGGACCUCUCCCCAGCCCAGCCAUCAGCAGGGGAGAGAAAGCGAAGCCCUUUCAGGGGCCUCCUUGUGACUCUCCUUCAUGCCUCCCGACGUCCCCAGGGCCGCUUUGGUUUAGGUGGGUUUGAGAAAGAAUUUGGACUCGAAGCUGCCCUCUCAGCCCCAGCGCCAGAGCCCCCAAACUCCAGGGUGGGAAAAGGGAGUCCCAGCCC